rnacentral:rRNA from 1 species
CCUACGGGGGGCUGCAGUGGGGAAUAUUGGACAAUGGGGGGAACCCUGAUCCAGCCAUGCCGCGUGUGUGAAGAAGGCCCUCGGGUUGUAAAGCACUUUCAGUGAGGAAGAACGCCUGGUGGUUAAUACCCAUCAGGAAAGACAUCACUCACAGAAGAAGCACCGGCUAACUCCGUGCCAGCAGCCGCGGUAAUACGGAGGGUGCGAGCGUUAAUCGGAAUUACUGGGCGUAAAGCGCGCGUAGGCGGCUUGAUAAGCCGGUUGUGAAAGCCCCGGGCUCAACCUGGGAACGGCAUCCGGAACUGUCAGGCUAGAGUGCAGGAGAGGAAGGUAGAAUUCCCGGUGUAGCGGUGAAAUGCGUAGAGAUCGGGAGGAACACCAGUGGCGAAGGCGGCUUUCUGGACUGACACUGACGCUGAGGUGCGAAAGCGUGGGUAGCAAACAGGAUUAGAUACCCGAGUAGUC